UGUCUGCGGUCAUCACAGUGCUCCGAACCUUGUGAAGAGUGGCUGACCUCCGGCCGGACGCUUUCAAACCGCAUCUGAAAGACAAUGACAUUAAAGCCGCGAGCAGACGAAAACGAACUCGAAACACGGCCUACAAGAACUGAAACAUGAGGGACAGCCUCGUGACCUAUAAAGACGUCGUCAUGUUUUGAAGCGACCGGAGAUUCAGUCGGUAUUGAAGCUGCUGGCAGUCGCAGGCAUUGGCAAGGCACUGAACAGUCACCAGCAGACGAUGGCUGUUUCGCGAUGAACACUACGGAGGCUAGCCUCAACGGCACGGACCUUACGAACCGGACGUCCUCCAUCUACAGCAUUGGUCCGGACUUCAUCACGCAAUGGAAACAGAGGAAACAGAGGGAAAAACUGUG